CUUUUAAAGAUUUAUCAAAAUUUCGUGAGCCGAAUCUCAGUAACUUGGUGAAUUCAGUUAGUUCUUACUAAGCCGCAAAAGUAAUAAGUGGACUUUUAGGGAUAUAGAAAAAUUUUCAAGAACUGAAUCAAAAUUUCAAGGCGAUAUCAGUGAGUUCCCAAUGGGACAUGCUUGUAUGAGUGUGCUUUUCAACAUAUAGCAACAUUUUAAGGAACGGAAUCUAAGUAUCAUGGUGAAUUCAGUAGGUUCCCAAUAGGAUUCGCAUGUAAUAAGAGUACUAUUCAAGAUAGAGCAAAGUUUAAUGACCUGAAACACCAUUUCUUUGUGAAUUCAGUUAGUUUCCAUUUGCAGGCUCUUGUAAUAUGUGUAAUUUAAAGAUUUGUCAAAAAUUCGUGAGCGGAAUCUCAGUGUCUUGGUGAAUUCAGUUAGUUCCUAAUAGGCCACAAUAGUAAAAAGUGGACUGCUCAGGAUAUAGAAAAAUUUUCACGAAUGUUAUCAAAAUUUCUAGGCGAAUUCAGUGAGUUCCCAAUGGAACAUGCUUGUAGGAGUGUGCUUUUCAAUAUAUAGCAACAUGUUAAGGUACGGAAUAUAAGUAUCAUGGUGAAUUCAGUAGGUUCCCAAUAGGAUUCGCAUGUAAUAAGGUUGUUAUUCGAGAUAGAGCAACGUUUUAACGAACUGAAACACUGUUUCUUUGUGAAUUCAGUUAGGUCCCAGUAGCAGGCUCUUGUAGUAUGUGUACUUUUAAAGAUUUAUCAAAAUUUCGUGAGCCGAAUCUCAGUUACUUGGUGAAUUCAGUUAGUCCUUACUAAGCCGCAAAAGUAAUAAGUGGACUGUUCGGAAUAUAGAAAAAUUUUCAAGAACUGAAUCAAAAUUUCUAGGCGAAUUCAGUGAGUUCCCAAUGCGACAUGCUUGUAUGAGUGUGCUUUUCAAUAUACAGCAACAUUUUAAGAAACGGAAUCUAAGUAUCAUGGUGUAUUCAGUAGGUUCCCAAUAGGAUUCGCAUGUAAUAGGCUUGUUAUUCAAGAUAGAGCAACAGUUUAACGAACUAAAUCACUGUUUCUCUGAGAAUUCAGUUAGUUCCCAGUAGCAGGCUCAGGUAAUAUGUGUACUUUUAAAGAUUUAUCAAAAUUUGGUGAGCCGAAUCUCAGUAACUUGGUGAAUUCAGUUAGUUCCCAAUAUGCCGCAGUAGUAAUAAGUGGACUGUUCAGGAUAUAGAAAAAUUUUCAUGAAUGGAAUCAAAAUUUCUAGGCGAAUUCAGUGAGUUCCCAAUGGGACAUGCUUGUAUGAGUGUGCUUUUCAAUAUAUAGCAACAUUUUAAGGAACGGAAUCUAAGUAUCAUGGUGAAUUCAGCAGGUACCCAAUAGGAUUCGCAUGUAAUAAGCUUGUUUUCGAUAUAGAGCAACGUUUUAACGAACUGAAACACUGUUUCUUUGUGAAUUCAGUUAGUUCCCAGUAGCACCCUCUUGUAAUAUGUGUACUUUUAAAGAUUUAUCAAAAUUUCGUGAGCCG
rnacentral:lncRNA from 1 species